rnacentral:rRNA from 1 species
CCUACGGGUGGCUGCAGUGGGGAAUAUUGGACAAUGGGCGAAAGCCUGAUCCAGCCAUGCCGCGUGUGUGAAGAAGGCCUUCGGGUUGUAAAGCACUUUCAGUGGGGAAGAAAGCCUUGGGGCUAAUACCCUCGAGGAAGGACAUCACCCACAGAAGAAGCACCGGCUAACUCCGUGCCAGCAGCCGCGGUAAUACGGAGGGGUGCGAGCGUUAAUCGGAAUUACUGGGCGUAAAGCGCGCGUAGGCGGUCUGAUAAGCCGGUUGUGAAAGCCCCGGGCUCAACCUGGGAACGGCAUCCGGAACUGUCAGGCUAGAGUGCAGGAGAGGAAGGUAGAAUUCCCGGUGUAGCGGUGAAAUGCGUAGAGAUCGGGAGGAAUACCAGUGGCGAAGGCGGCCUUCUGGACUGACACUGACGCUGAGGUGCGAUAGCGUGGGUAGCAAACAGGAUUAGAUACCCGUGUAGUC